rnacentral:lncRNA from 1 species
ACCCAUGUAUUAAAUGUUCUUUUUGUUGCUCUUUCACAUCCAGAAUGUUUGAAGUAAAAAUAAGAUUGCCUACAAAGCUAUUGUUGGCUAUACAGAGGUGACAUUUGGUACAUUUCCAGAGCACUGGGAUUCCACCUGCUUCUAACUGGUAAGGCCAACAGAACAGCAAGCAAGAGCUGCAUGCCCAACAGUGACCUUUUGACAACUAUGAAAUGUGUGUUAUUUUUCAGUCCCAGCAACAUUAAGCCUGUAGACUUAAGGUUGUAUUCCAAUGAUCUUUAUUGUCAUGAAGUUUCCAUUUCGAGUGAUGUUUGUCAAGUCAGCUCUGAGCAGGAUUUCCUACAAGAAAGGUUUUACAGUCUCAUUCUCCAGUUGCUCUCAAUCUCUAUUCCAGAAGUAACUGCUUUUCAAGAACAUCACUUUUAAUGCAUUUUCUAUUCUGGAAAUAACUGCUUUCCAAAAAAUCUGACCUUCUUAUUCAAGCAACACUUGAAAUUGACACUUUGGAUUUGGCCAAAGAUGCUGGGAUAUUUGGGCAUCCAUUGGGCUGAAGAGCAGUAACCAUUGAGUGCUGGACCUGAUGACCUCCAGAGGUCCCUCCCAACCCCUGUGAUUCUGUGAUUGCUGUCGGUACAGCUUCUCAAUUGUAGUCACUGGGUUUGGAGAAGGGUCUCUGAUUGAAAGGUAUGUUUUGCUUGCCAUUUUUGAUAUGGUUUGUGAAGCAGAUGGUUUCAAAUGGCCCGUGGGAGAAAUGUUUCUCCUCAUAGCAAAUAAACUUUGAAAAGUGUAUUAUUUUCUUAGCCUG